GACGAACGCUGGCGGCGUGCUUAACACAUGCAAGUCGAACGGUGAAGGGACCAGCUUGCUGGUUCUGGAUGAGUGGCGAACGGGUGAGUAACACGUGAGUAACCUGCCCCCUUCUUCUGGAUAACCGCAUGAAAGUGUGGCUAAUACGGGAUAUUCUGGGUCUGUCGCAUGGCGGGCCCGGGAAAGAUAUUGCUUCGGUGGGGGAUGGGCUCGCGGCCUAUCAGCUUGUUGGUGGGGUGAUGGCCUACCAAGGCGGUGACGGGUAGCCGGCCUGAGAGGGUGGACGGUCACACUGGGACUGAGACACGGCCCAGACUCCUACGGGAGGCAGCAGUGGGGAAUAUUGCACAAUGGGCGCAAGCCUGAUGCAGCGACGCCGCGUGAGGGAUGGAGGCCCUCGGGUUGUAAACCUCUUUCGCCAGUGAAGCAGGCCUGCUCCUUGUGGGUGGGUUGACGGUAGCUGGAUAAGAAGCGCCGGCUAACUACGUG
rnacentral:rRNA from 1 species